UACGUAGGUGGCAAGCGUUGUCCGGAUUUAUUGGGUUUAAAGGGUGCGUAGGUGGCAUUUUAAGUCAGUGGUGAAAUACUUCAGCUUAACUGGAGAGGUGCCAUUGAUACUGGGAUGCUUGAGUACUGAUGAGGUAGGCGGAAUGGACGGUGUAGCGGUGAAAUGCUUAGAUAUCGUCCAGAACACCGAUAGCGAAGGCAGCUUACUAAGGAGUAACUGACGCUGAGGCACGAAAGUGUGGGGAUCAAACAGG
rnacentral:rRNA from 1 species